rnacentral:rRNA from 1 species
CCUACGGGAGGCAGCAGUGAGGAAUAUUGGUCAAUGGACGAGAGUCUGAACCAGCCAAGUAGCGUGAAGGAUGACUGCCCUAUGGGUUGUAAACUUCUUUUAUAUGGGAAUAAAAUGUUCCACGUGUGGGAUUUUGUAUGUACCAUAUGAAUAAGGAUCGGCUAACUCCGUGCCAGCAGCCGCGGUAAUACGGAGGAUCCGAGCGGUAUCCGGAUUUAUUGGGUUUAAAGGGAGCGUAGGUGGAUUUUUAAGUCAGUUGUGAAAGUUUGCGGCUCAACCGUAAAAUUGCAGUUGAAACUGGCAGUCUUGAGUACAGUAGAGGUGGGCGGAAUUCGUGGUGUAGCGGUGAAAUGCUUAGAUAUCACGAAGAACUCCGAUUGCGAAGGCAGUUCACUGGACUGCAACUGACACUGAGGCUCGAAAGUGUGGGUAUCAAACAGGAUUAGAUACCCUUGUAGUC